ACAGACAAUUCAUCAAUUAAACUUUGUGUCAAGUUUACUUUUAAUUCAAUAAAUGUGUAUUCCUUAAUUAUUAAUAAUAAUUAAGGAAUACACUAUAUGACAUUGAAGACAAAGAAAAAAAGUUUUACAUCAGAGGAAAUGACUGUGCACUUCUUUCUUGAAGGAUCAACACACAAAAGGAAAAGUGCAUAUCUUUAUGCAUCACUUGCAGUAGUUGAGAUAAUUUUGGAUACACACAAAAAACUGUGAACUGAGUCAGAAUUAUAAUUUAAACAUCAUAUGUGGUACCUGCAUGUACUUACUGGUACACGUAUAUAUAUUGUUACUUUGUAAUUCACAACAUUUUACAUGAAUAUAGGAAUAUUCUUUGCAUGUUACAUGUGAAAUAAAAAAAGACAAGUAUAGAAAUAAAGAAUUAUCUAUUACAACAUUAUCAUCUAAAACCAGUAGGAUGAUAUAUGUCUACAUUUAUUAUGGAUCAUGGAAACCUACAAUUCAAGAAUUUACCAUAGCAAAAUAACACAAUGACGUGAUGAAUAAGUACAGAGCAGAGUCAUAUGUUGCGAAGAAAGAAAAAAAAGGGCAUAUGCACAAAGGAUAUUAGCAAAAAUUAAAUAACAAGAAUAUAAAAAAUGUUCACAGCAGAAUAACAUAAUGAUUGAGUGUACAGGAACAGAGUCCCGUCAAAUGGAUAUCAACAUAAAACAGACUAAACAGUAUAUUGGAUAUAUGCAUGCAGAC
rnacentral:lncRNA from 1 species